rnacentral:rRNA from 1 species
CCUACGGGAGGCUGCAGUGAGGAAUAUUGGUCAAUGGGCGAGAGCCUGAACCAGCCAAGUAGCGUGCAGGAUGACGGCCCUAUGGGUUGUAAACUGCUUUUAUAGGGGAAUAAAGUGAGCUACGUGUAGUUUAUUGCAUGUACCCUAUGAAUAAGGACCGGCUAAUUCCGUGCCAGCAGCCGCGGUAAUACGGAAGGUCCAGGCGUUAUCCGGAUUUAUUGGGUUUAAAGGGAGCGUAGGCUGGAGAUUAAGUGUGUUGUGAAAUGUAGACGCUCAACGUCUGAAUUGCAGCGCAUACUGGUUUCCUUGAGUACGCACAACGUUGGCGGAAUUCGUCGUGUAGCGGUGAAAUGCUUAGAUAUGACGAAGAACUCCGAUUGCGAAGGCAGCUGACGGGAGCGC